GAUGAACGCUGGCGGCGUGCCUAAUACAUGCAAGUCGAACGCAUUGAGAGAAAUGCUUGCACUUUUCAAUUUGAGUGGCGAACGGGUGAGUAACACGUGUGCAACCUACCUGAUAGCGGGGGAUAACGAGUGGAAACAUUCGCUCAUACCGCAUAACAAUAGAGAAGGCAUCUUCUUUAUUUAAAAGGCGCUUUCAAGCGUCACUAUCAGAUGGGCCCGCGGUGCAUUAGUUAGUUGGUGGGGUGAAGGCCUACCAAGACGAUGAUGCAUAGCCGAGUUGAGAGACUGAUCGGCCACAUUGGGACUGAGACACGGCCCAAACUCCUACGGGAGGCUGCAGUAGGGAAUCUUCCACAAUGGACGAAAGUCUGAUGGAGCAACGCCGCGUGUGUGAUGAAGGCUUUCGGGUCGUAAAGCACUGUUGUAUGGGAAGAAAUGCUAGGAUAGGAAAUGAGCUUAGUUUGACGGUACCAUACCAGAAAGGGACGGCUAAAUACGUGCCAGCCGCCGCCGUAA
rnacentral:rRNA from 1 species